UCCAUUUGUAUGCGAGUGUGGAAAUAGAUACAAAUAUGGUCCCGGUUUAUAUAAGCACAAAAAGUGGCAAUGUCAAAAAGAAAAAUCUUGGAAGUGUCCUUAUUGUCCUCAUCUAACUUGGUAUAAGGCAAAUCUAGAGAAACACAUUAAGAAAAAACAUCGUGGUAUUUGUAAAGUAUAUUAAAUCACAUCUGUGACCUUGUGACAAAGUGGUAGGUAUCUGACAAACCCAGUUUGUCACAGGUACAACUCUCUAUAAAGAGACACUAGAUCGCAACCUAGAAAACUGACCAACGGAGACUAAAAACAACAUGGAGCUCGAAGUGCGGCCAGAGUUAUUAAUACAAGGCAUCUCAUUGAAAAAAUGUGCUUAUGUAUGCCACUGUGGAAAUAUCUACAGGUAUCGCACAGGGUUAAGAGAACACCAAAGAUGGCAAUGCGGAAAAGAUGAAAAGAAAUGGCAGUGUUCCUACUGCUCCUAUUCGGCUACAUGGAAAUCCAAUUUAAAUAUGCAUAUCAGACGGAAACAUACAUGCACAACUUAAUAAACUACUCAGGUGUUUCAAAUCAAUAUGCCAAUAAUAGGCAUUUAUUUAUCUCUUUAUAUAUUGUUUAUUUUCUGAUAUAUUUUUGUGUUACAUUGAUUGAAUUUUUUUGUAUAAUUUUUUUUUAAGGCUGGAAAAUAAAUUACGUUAAUAUAUAUAAA